GGGCUUGUAGCUCAGCCGGUUAGAGCGCUCGCUUCACAUGCGAGAGGUCCACGGUUCGAAUCCGUGCAAGCCCA
rnacentral:tRNA from 1 species